rnacentral:lncRNA from 1 species
UUUUGGUUCUCCUACAAAAUGUCUAGCUAUGUGAUAAAGAAGGGUUGCACAAGCAUCUUCUUGUGCUUCCUGGACAAAAGUUUCUUGACCAUUAACUGUUCGAGCUACCUGUUCAAGGGCUGUGGCAUUGUAAAUGAGGUUUUUCUCGUCUUCCGAGACAUAAUUGUCCCACCAGUGUUUGAUCAUGCCGGUGAAACCUGAGACAAUCAUGGUGGCGGCACCUUUGUCAGAGGAACCUUUGAUUUUGUAGGCCGUGAUGGCUACCGCUAUUUCAUGGAGUUUAUUGUAGAUCUGAUGCUCAGCCAGACCAUCAAUAUUCCAUUCAGUGAUACCUCGCCCAUCAUGACUAGAUGUGGAUAGGAAAGGAUUUUCCUCGAACUGGACGUCAGGGGGAGAAGGUUUUCGAUAAUAAUUUUUUCUAGUGGAAAAUCGUUCACUAGAUAAUUUGGAGAGAGAAUUCUUAUUCUUAGGAUCAGAAGAGUCUUUAGAGGUAGAGGCUUCUGAGAUCUUAAAUUUGGUGAGUUUGGAAUUGAUUUUUUCCAGAAUUUGUUCAGACAACUUAAAGUCAUCAUUUAGGUCAGGAAACUUAUCUUUGUGAAACUCUGGGAGUUUAAAGAUAGGAUUUGAAAGAGGCUUAGAGCUUGGAGUGCUCUUGACUGGUAGAGGUGCAGAGAGAGGAGAACUCUUGGUUUCUUCAAUCUGCUGGGAAAUAGUGUGAAGAACUUGAUUUGUAUAAUUGUUUUGCUCAAUUAUUCGAUCAAGAUCUUUACAUUG